AUUUAUAUAGUUUAAAAAAAAACACUACACUUUCACUGUAAAAUUAGAAAUAUCCUUAUAAAUA
rnacentral:tRNA from 1 species